GCCGAUUUGGCUCAGCUGGUAGAGCAACUGAUUUGUAAUCAGUAGGUCGGGGGUUCAAGUCCCUCAAUCGGCACCA
rnacentral:tRNA from 1 species